AGCUUCCUGACAGAAUUUCCAGUUUCUUCUCCCAUGUUCUGCAUUUUCCAGGGCUGUUCCUGAGGCUCAAGCCAGAGCAGGACACUUCUCCUUACCUUCUGGGCUAAUUCUCAUCUGUGUGUCUUGGGCCCUUGUGACGGGUGCCACCGGGUACUUGCUUUCCAAACGUGCUCUGUGUUCUGGCACGCAUGCAAGCCGUUCUUCCUGAGUGCUGGGAGGAGAUUCACGUCAUGGAAGGUGCUAGAUGUGCAUGCGGUGGACUGUCUGGACUUGGAUUAGCCAGACUGCUCGAUGGGGCUCACCGUGGAUUAGCCAGACUGCUUGAUGGGGCUCACCAGUGCCAAACAACACUGCUCCGAAGAUUCAGAGAAAUGAGUAUGUCUGGUUGAUCUCAGCUCAGGAGGAACUUUCUGUGCAGGAAAAAACGGGAAGUUUUCACGGUUUCAAGAGCAGAUUGGGUUUUAAACGAGAAGACAGUGUGUCUUUGUGAGGACUGGGAACAACGGCAUGCCAAGAAUCCUACAGGUGAGGUGAAAGCCUCGCCCCGACGGAAUCAGCCUUUUCCUCCACCACAGGCGUUCCUGUUAGAGCCACCGUCAGGCCCGGGCUUCGAGAGCUUACUCUUUUGUUUGAGUGAAGAAAAAUAAUUUCCUCAUCGAGCAGCUGGGCCCUCAGAUUUGGCACCUCUUCAGAGCGACCACACAUAAAAACAAAGAUCACAAGCAGGAAGAGAAGCAGGCAGAGAGAGGAAGAAGCAGGCUCCCUGCUGAGCAGAGAGCCCGAUGCAGGGCUCGAUCCCAGGACCCUGGGAUCAUGCCCUGAGCCGAAGGCAGAGGCUUUAACCCACUGAGCCACCCAGGCGCCCCAGGAUUAUGGUUUUGAACCCGUCAGAUAUUUGAAGAGAAGAAAACUCAAAGGAGACUCAAGUAAGUAAGAACAAGUAUGUUGGCUAAUCAUGAACCUCUCUCCGUAUUUCCACCCACACUUGGCCUGUGAGGGUCAUGAUCUCGGGAGUGGAGAUUAAUCCCAUUCAGACAGUUCUAAUUUUUCUUUUUUAUUUUAUUUUUUUAAAGAUUUUAUUUAUUUAUGUGACAGACCGAGAUUACAAGCAGGCAGAGAGAGAGGGGAGGAAGCAGGCUCCCCGCUGAGCAGAGAACCCGGUGCGGGGCUCGAUCCCAGGACUCUGAGAUCAUGACCUGAGCUGAAGGCAGCGGCUUAACCCACUGAGCCACUCAGGCGCCCCUAG